AGAGUUUGAUCCUGGCUCAGAUUGAACGCUGGCGGCAUGCCUUACACAUGCAAGUCGAACGGUAACAGCACUUCGGUGGCUGACGAGUGGCGAACGGGUGAGUAAUACAUCGGAACGUGCCCGAGAGUGGGGGAUAACGCAGCGAAAGCUGUGCUAAUACCGCAUACGAUCUACGGAUGAAAGCAGGGGAUUCGCAAGGACCUUGCGCUCAUGGAGCGGCCGAUGGCAGAUUAGGUAGUUGGUGGGAUAAAAGCUUACCAAGCCGACGAUCUGUAGCUGGUCUGAGAGGACGACCAGCCACACUGGGACUGAGACACGGCCCAGACUCCUACGGGAGGCAGCAGUGGGGAAUUUUGGACAAUGGGCGAAAGCCUGAUCCAGCCAUGCCGCGUGCAGGAUGAAGGCCUUCGGGUUGUAAACUGCUUUUGUACGGAACGAAAAGAUCUCUUCUAAUAAAGGGGGUCCAUGACG
rnacentral:rRNA from 1 species